rnacentral:rRNA from 1 species
CCUACGGGAGGCAGCAGUGGGGAAUUUUGCGCAAUGGGGGCAACCCUGAUCCAGCCAUUCCGCGUGAGUGAAGAAGGCCUUCGGGUUGUAAAGCUCUUUCGGCAGGAACGAAACGGCGGACUCUAACAUAGUCUGUCAAUGACGGUACCUGAAGAAGAAGCACCGGCUAACUACGUGCCAGCAGCCGCGGUAAUACGUAGGGUGCGAGCGUUAAUCGGAAUUACUGGGCGUAAAGCGUGCGCAGGCGGCUUUGUAAGACGGAGGUGAAAUCCCUGGGCUUAACCUAGGAACUGCGUUCGUGACUGCAAAGCAAGAGUGCGGCAGAGGGGGGUGGAAUUCCUGGUGUAGCAGUGAAAUGCGUAGAGAUCAGGAGGAACACCGGUGGCGAAGGCGGCUCUCGGGACCGAUACUGACGCUGAGACGCGAAAGCGUGGGGAGCAAACAGGAUUAGAUCCC